rnacentral:misc_RNA from 1 species
AACGCACAUGGCGCCCGCCGGCAUUCCGGCGGGCACGCCUGUCCGAGCGUCAUUGCACCCGUCACGCCCCGCGUGGUGUUGGGGGACGUCGCGCCUGGCGCGACCCCUCCGGAACCCGUUGGCGGUGGCCCUUCGCCCCGAUCGUCGCGCACGUUACGACGGGCGCGGGGGGACGCCCGCCUCAACCGCCGCCCGCCCUCUUCGGCGGGCGCGCAUCGCAACGCUUGACCUCGGAUCAGGCGGGGAUACCCGCUGAACUUAA